GUUCUUAUAGCUCAAUGGUAGAGCAGAUGACUGUUAAUCAUCAGGUUGGUGGUUCAAAUCCACCUAAGAACG
rnacentral:tRNA from 1 species